rnacentral:lncRNA from 1 species
AAGGAGAAAGUCAUCACCUCUACUUUAGGUGGAUGUGGAAGGUUGACAGAAGAGGAACACAGGGACUAGGGCUUCGAGUGUGUUUGCCAAGAAUAUAAGAUGAUGGAAGAAUGUGGUAUUUCCAGAGGAUAGAAGAUAUAUGCACAAAAGCAUAGAUGAGAAAUAUAGUAUGGUUAGAGUAUGUGAUGCUUAACACUGUGUAGAAUAAUGCUGGAGAGUGAGACAGAAAUCACCUCAAAUGACGUGAGAAAUAUUCUAGAUAAUUGGAGAGUCAUUGAGUUUUUUUUUAACAAAGGAAUAUAAUAAUGAGAUACGUGAUAUUUUGUAAAAAAUUACAAGAGAAUUUAGAAAGCAUGUUGGAGUGAAGUGGCACUGGAGACCGAAAAGUCAGACAGACUUUAUUUAGGAGUGAAACCUACGAUAAAUUACCAUUGUCCAAACCAAGGAUUCAGCAGUGAGAAUGGAGUGAAAGGAAUGAAUUUAGGGAUAAAUAGGAAGAUGAGUGACAGUAGUUUGAAAAAAUCAUCUAUGAGACGUGAGAGUCAUUGAAGAGUAGAAAAUGACACUUUGUAAGGUUCUGGCUUGCCAUAUUAAUUUCAACAUAAAGUAACUUUGGGAAUACAGCUUGGUAUAAAAUGAAUACUUUGGGUCCAGUGCAUCAGAUGUUGAACUUGCGGUUCCAGGACAAUAUUCAAGUGGAAAUGUCCAGUAAGUGCUCGGAUGUGAAAUUUGGAAGGUAGUUCUGGGUGGGAGACAUUGACUUGAGAGUCAUCAACAUAUGGAUGGACAUGAGACCCAUAGGAUGGGUACAUUUAUCUGAGGAAAAUGUAGAGAAUAAAAGUAGAAAAGAACCCAAAUGAAGUCCAAUAAAGUGACUGGGUCACCUUCUAGGCAUCCAAACUAAUCCUAUGGAAGGGUCAGUAGGAAAUUUGCUAAAUGACACAGGAAGUUUGGUGUCAGCAGGAUAAACAAGUUAUGUCUGACAGCUUUUCAUUAAAUACACUUUUCACAAAAAGAGCAUCAACAAUAAAUUAAUAAAACAUGAUAUGAGGGCACACACGAUAUUUUAUACUACUACUCAUGAGAUGAAUAAAAGAACCACCUCUGUAUUAAGAGACAAAGACAGAUAAGUCUGGCACAUAGUAGGUGUGUGGUAAAUAUUUCUGAGAUGCAAGAGUAUCUGUAAAAUGUA